rnacentral:rRNA from 1 species
GACGAACGCUGGCGGCGUGCUUAACACAUGCAAGUCGAACGGAAAGGCCCUGCUUUUGUUGGGUGCUCGAUUGGCGAACGGGUGAGUAACACGUGAGUAACCUGUCCUUGACUUUGUGAUAACUUCAGGAAACUGGGGCGAAUACCGGAUAGGAGCUCCUGCUGCAUGUUGGGGGUUGGAAAGUUUCGGCGGUUCGGGAUGGACUCGCGGCUUAUCAGCUUGUUGGUGGGGUAGUGGCUUACCAAGGCUUUGACGGGUAGCCGGCCUGAGAGGGUGACCGGCCACAUUGGGACUGAGAUACGGCCCAGACUCCUACGGGAGGCAGCAGUGGGGAAUAUUGCACAAUGGGCGGAAGCCUGAUGCAGCAACGCCGCGUGCGGGAUGACGGCCUUCGGGUUGUAAACCGCUUUCGCCUGUGACGAAGCGUGAGUGACGGUAAUGGGUAAAGAAGCACCGGCUAACUACGUG